AUGGCAUAACGAGGGCUUAGCUGUCUCCUUUUUCCAGUCAAUGAAAUUGAUCUCCCCGUGCAGAAGCGGGGAUAAAUACAUAAGACGAGAAGACCCUAUGGAGCUUUAGACACUAAAGUGGAUCAUGUCAAUGACCCCAAACAAAGGAUUGAACCAAAUGGAACCCACCCUGAUGUCUUUGGUUGGGGCGACCGCGGGGAACUAAAUAACCCCCAUGUGGAAUGGGAGCACCCCUCCUACAGCUGAGAGUUACAACUCUAAUAAACAGAAUUUCUGACCAAAAAGAUCCGGCAAAGCCGAUCAACGGACCUAGUUACCCUAGGGAUAACAGCGCAAUCCUCUUUUAGAGCCCAUAUCGACAAGGGGGUUUACGACCUCGAUGUUGGAUCAGGACAUCCUAAUGGUGCAGCCGCUAUUG
rnacentral:rRNA from 1 species